rnacentral:rRNA from 1 species
GUUUACCAAAAACACAGGUCUCUGCUAACGCGAAAGCGGAUGUAUAGGGGCUGACGCCUGCCCAAUGCUCGUAGAUUAAGAGGAGAUGUCAGGGUAACCAAAGCAUUGAAUUGAAGUCCGAGUGAAUGGCGGCCGUAACUCUAACGGUCCUAAGGUAGCGAAAUUCCUUGUCGGCUAAAUACCGACCCGCAUGAAAGGCGUAACGACUUGGGCACUGUCUCAACGAGAAAUCCGGUGAAAAUGUAGCACCCGUGAAGAUGCGGGUUACGCGCAGUAGGACGGAAAGACCCCGUGGAGCUUUACUACACCUUCAGAUUGUGAAUUGGAUGUAGAUGUAGAGCGUAGGUGGGAGCUUAGGCACCAAUGGAACACCACCCUUUUACAUCUGGUUUACUAACCUGCACCGUUAUCCGGUGUGGAGACAGUCUGUGGCGGGUAGUUUGACUGGGGCGGUCGCCUCCCAAAAUGUAACGGAGGCGUACAAAGCUGCACUCAGCCUGGUCGGAAAUCAGGCGUCGAGCG